CCUACGGGAGGCAGCAGUAGGGAAUUUUCGGCAAUGGGGGAAACCCUGACCGAGCAACGCCGCGUGAAUGACGAAGUACUUCGGUAUGUAAAGUUCUUUUAUUAGGGAAGAAUGGCAGGUGGAAAAACCUGAUUGACGGUACCUAAUGAAUAAGCCCCGGCUAACUAUGUGCCAGCAGCCGCGGUAAUACAUAGGGGGCAAGCGUUAUCCGGAAUUAUUGGGCGUAAAGGGUGCGUAGGUGGUUCGUUAAGUCUUUGGUGUAAGUGCAGUGCUUAACGCUGUGAUGCUAAAGAAACUGGCGGACUUGAGUGUGGUAGAGGCAAGUGGAAUUCCAUGUGUAGCGGUAAAAUGCGUAAAUAUAUGGAGGAACACCAGUGGCGAAGGCGGCUUGCUGGGCCACAACUGACACUGAGGCACGAAAGCGUGGGGAGCAAACAGGAUUAGAUACCCUGGUAGUCCACGCCGUAAACGAUGAGUACUAAGUGUUGGAGAAAUUCAGUGCUGUAGUUAACGCAAUAAGUACUCCGCCUGAGUAGUACGUACGCAAGUAUGAAACUCAAAGGAAUUGACGG
rnacentral:rRNA from 1 species